GCCUGGGUGGCUCAGUUGGUUGAGCAUCCGACUUCGGCACAGGUCAUGAUCUCGCGACUCGCGAGUUCGAGCCCCGCGUCAGGCU
rfam:Felis catus isolate Cinnamon breed Abyssinian chromosome D1, whole genome shotgun sequence.